UACGGAGGAUGCAAGCGUUAUCCGGAAUGAUUGGGCGUAAAGCGUCCGCAGGUGGCAAUGUAAGUCUGCUGUCAAAGCGUCUGGCUCAACCAGAUAAAGGCAGUGGAAACUACAUAGCUAUAGUAAGGUAGGGGUAGAGGGAAUUCCUGGUGUAGCGGUGAAAUGCGUAGAGAUCAGGAAGAACACCGGUGGCGAAAGCGCUCUGCUGGACCUUAACUGACACUGAGGGACGAAAGCUAGGGGAGCGAAUGGG
rnacentral:rRNA from 1 species